rnacentral:lncRNA from 1 species
GAAGAAGAUGUUUUUGAUAUAAGAGAAAAAAAACAGAGAUGCAUGAGAAGGUAAAUUACACAAAAUCUAUCUAUCUAUCUAUAUAUAUAUAAUACAAUCAAUUAAUUCUGUACAAUGUGUUGUUGAAAUUGCACGCGAACACAAUCAUAUAUUCAAAAUCCCUUCCAAGCUGUGAGAAUCUCCUGGAAUAUGUCAGAAAUGAGAUCUCUAUCGGCGAAAUGGAGAAAGGAAUUGAAUUCAUCGUGGAUUUGGAAAAUCUUCCCAAACCCCACAAGGUAACUCAUGCAACUUCUCUUCAACAACGGAAGUUUAUAGAGAUGCGCGCUUCGGAGUCUUUCCAAAACAUUCUUACCGUCGAUAUCUUCCACUAGGCUUUCUUCGCAGGCCGUUUUCAAGUCCGACAGGUCGUACUUCUCCGCCGCGCUCAAAAGUGCCAACCGAUGACUCAUGAACUCCUCCGCCUCAACGUUG